rnacentral:rRNA from 1 species
GUCCACGCCGUAAACGUUGGGCACUAGGUGUGGGACUCUAUCGACGGGUUCCGUGCCGUAGCUAACGCAUUAAGUGCCCCGCCUGGGGAGUACGGCCGCAAGGCUAAAACUCAAAGGAAUUGACGGGGGCCCGCACAAGCGGCGGAGCAUGUGGCUUAAUUCGAUGCGACGCGAAGAACCUUACCUGGGUUUGACAUGUAGGGAAAAGCCGUAGAGAUACGGUGUCCUUCGGGCCGUUACACAGGUGGUGCAUGGCUGUCGU